GACGAACCGUGCGAACGUUGUUCGGAAUCACUGGGCUUAAAGGGCGCGUAGGCGGACUGCCAAGUCCGGGGUGAAAUCCUCCGGCUUAACCGGAGAAUUGCCUGGAUACUGGCGGUCUUGAGGGAGGUAGGGGCACGCGGAACUUCCGGUGGAGCGGUGAAAUGCGUUGAUAUCGGAAGGAACGCCGGUGGCGAAAGCGGCGUGCUGGCCCUCUUCUGACGCUGAGGCGCGAAAGCCAGGGGAGCGAACGGG
rnacentral:rRNA from 1 species